CAUAACCGGAUGGCAUCGUCUGGUUAUCAAAGGAGCAAUCCGCUUAAGGAUGGGCUCGCGUCCGAUUAGAUAGUUGGUGAGGUAACGGCUCACCAAGUCGACGAUCGGUAGCCGGACUGAGAGGUUGAACGGCCACAUUGGGACUGAGACACGGCCCAGACUCCUACGGGAGGCAGCAGUGGGGAAUAUUGCACAAUGGGGGAAACCCUGAUGCAGCGACGCCGCGUGAGGGAAGAAGGUUUUCGGAUUGUAAACCUCUGUCUUUGGUGACGAUAAUGACGGUAACCAAAGAGGAAGCUACGGCUAACUACGUGCCAGCAGCCGCGGUAAUACGUAGGUGGCAAGCGUUGUCCGGAAUUACUGGGUGUAAAGGGAGCGUAGGCGGGAAGACAAGUUGAAUGUUUAAACUAUCGGCUUAACCGGUAGUCGCGUUCAAAACUGUUUUUCUUGAGUGAAGUAGAGGCAGGCGGAAUUCCUAGUGUAGCGGUGAAAUGCGUAGAUAUUAGGAGGAACACCAGUGGCGAA
rnacentral:rRNA from 1 species